GAUGAACGCUGGCGGCGUGCUUAACACAUGCCAGUCGAACGGAAAGGCCCAAGCUUGCUUGGGUACUCGAGUGGCGAACGGGUGAGUAACACGUGGGUGAUCUGCCCUGCACUUCGGGAUAAGCCUGGGAAACUGGGUCUAAUACCGGAUAGGACGAUGGUUUGGAUGCCAUUGUGGAAAGUUUUUUCGGUGUGGGAUGAGCUCGCGGCCUAUCAGCUUGUUGGUGGGGUAAUGGCCUACCAAGGCGUCGACGGGUAGCCGGCCUGAGAGGGUGUACGGCCACAUUGGGACUGGGAUACGGCCCAGACUCCUACGGGAGGCAGCAGUGGGGAAUAUUGCACAAUGGGCGCAGGCCUGAUGCAGCGACGCCGCGUGGGGGAUGACGGCCUUCGGGUUGUAAACUCCUUUCGCUAGGGACGAAGCGUUUUUGUGACGGUACCUGGAGAAGAAGCACCGGCUAACUACGUG
rnacentral:rRNA from 1 species